rnacentral:rRNA from 1 species
GUAGGUGGCAAGCGUUGUUCGGAAUUAUUGGGCGUAAAGCGCGCGCAGGCGGAUCGGUCAGUCUGUCUUAAAAGUUCGGGGCUUAACCCCGUGAUGGGAUGGAAACUGCCAAUCUAGAGUAUCGGAGAGGAAAGUGGAAUUCCUAGUGUAGCGGUGAAAUGCGUAGAUAUUAGGAAGAACACCAGUGGCGAAGGCGACUUUCUGGACGAAAACUGACGCUGAGGCGCGAAAGCCAGGGGAGCGAACGGGAUUAGAUACCCCGGUAGUCCUGGCCGUAAACGAUGGGUACUAGGUGUAGGAGGUAUCGACCCCCUCUGUGCCGGAGUUAACGCAUUAAGUAUUCCACCUGGGGAGU